rnacentral:rRNA from 1 species
AUACGUAGGUGGCGAGCGUCGUCCGGAAUUACUGGGUGUAAAGGGCGUGUAGGCGGGGCGUCAAGUCAGGUGUGAAAUUCCGAGGCUUAACUUCGGGUUUGCAUCUGAAACUGAUGUUCUUGAGUGUCGGAGAGGAAAGUGGAAUUCCCAGUGUAGCGGUGAAAUGCGUAGAGAUUGGGAGGAACACCAGUGGCGAAGGCGGCUUUCUGGACGACAACUGACGCUGAGGCGCGAAAGCGUGGGGAGCAAACAGGAUUAGAUACCCUGGUAGUCCACGCCGUAAACGAUGGAUACUAGGUGUAGGAGGUAUCGACCCCUUCUGUGCCGGAGUUAACACAAUAAGUAUCCCACCUGGGGAGUACGGCCGCAAGGUUGAA